rnacentral:rRNA from 1 species
CCUACGGGAGGCAGCAGUGAGGAAUAUUGGUCAAUGGCCGAGAGGCUGAACCAGCCAAGUCGCGUGAGGGAAGACGGCCCUACGGGUUGUAAACCUCUUUUGUCGGGGAGCAAAGCGAACCACGUGUGGUUCAUUGAGAGUACCCGAAGAAAAAGCAUCGGCUAACUCCGUGCCAGCAGCCGCGGUAAUACGGAGGAUUCAAGCGUUAUCCGGAUUUAUUGGGUUUAAAGGGUGUGUAGGCGGUCGGAUAAGUUAGAGGUGAAAUCCCGAGGCUCAACUUCGGAAUUGCCUCUGAUACUGUUCGGCUAGAGAGUAGUUGCGGUAGGCGGAAUGUAUGGUGUAGCGGUGAAAUGCAUAGAUAUUACACAGAACACCGAUUGCGAAGGCAGCUUGCUAGGCCGGAUCUGACACUGAUGCACGAAAGCGUGGGGAUCGAACAGGAUUAGAUACCCUGGUAGUC